rnacentral:rRNA from 1 species
AAUGAACGCUGGCGGCAUGCCUAACACAUGCAAGUCGAACGAGACCUUCGGGUCUAGUGGCGCACGGGUGCGUAACGCGUGGGAAUCUACCCUUGGGUUCGGAAUAACAGUGGGAAACUACUGCUAAUACCGGAUAAUGACGUAAGUCCAAAGAUUUAUCGCCCAAGGAUGAGCCCGCGUAGGAUUAGCUAGUUGGUGAGGUAAAAGCUCACCAAGGCGACGAUCCUUAGCUGGUCNGAGAGAUGAUCAGCCACACUGGGACUGAGACACGGCCCAGACUCCUACGGGAGGCAGCAGUGGGGAAUAUUGGACAAUGGGCGAAGCCUGAUCCAGCAAUGCCGCGUGAGUGAUGAAGCUUAGGUU